rnacentral:rRNA from 1 species
AACGCGAAGAACCUUACCUGGAUUUGACAUCCUCGGACAGCUGCAGAGAUGCAGUCUUCGUAGCAAUACGACCGGGAGACAGGUGCUGCAUGGCUGUCGUCAGCUCGUGUGGUGACAUGUUGGGUUAAGUCCCGCAACGAGCGCAACCCUUGUCCUUAGUUGCCAGCAUUCAGUUGGGCUCUCUAAGGAGACUGCCGUGGUGAACACGGAGGAAGGUGGGGAUGACGUCAAGUCCUCAUGGCCUUUAUAUCCAGGGCGACACACGUGAUACAAUGGACGGUACAGAGGGAAGCCAAAGCGCGAGCUGGAGCCAAUCUCAAAAAGCCGUUCUCAGUUCGGAUUGGAGUCUGCAACUCGACUCCAUGAAGUUGGAAUCGCUAGUAAUCGCGGAUCAGCACGCCGCGGUGAAUACGUUCCCGGGCCUUGUACACACCGCUGUA